rnacentral:lncRNA from 1 species
GCAAAAAGAUGAAAGUGGAAUAAAAAAAGAUAUGUAAAGACUUUACUGAAGUUAAUGUUUUUUUCCCGAUAGAUGACGCCACUUUCCACUAUGUUGAAUAUUAAAUGGCGGGAGCGAAAAGGGGUCUUACCAGAGACUGCCCACCUCGGUGGAGAGAGAAGCAGAAUUGUAGAGAAUGAGGAUUGACAACCGGAUUCGGAUCCUUGAAUAAAAUUUUCCAAAGGAUGGGGUGGGACCUAGAACAGAAUUCUUCGGCUCCUCUGAGAAAGCCGAAGAGUUUCCACGUGUCAAAUCCAGUCGACUAACAUUUACAGUUAAUUUUAACUAUGCUUCUCCAAUUUUACAAGAUAUACAGCACUGUAUUUAUAUGCCAGCAGCUAUUUCAGAGCCUAUUAUGAAUUAAUCACCAUCUUUGAUGACUAACCGGAAGGCUGAAGAAUAAGGUCCAAUGCGUUCGAAAAUAAAUUUGAGCGACAGUGAAUUGAUUUCUGCCUCAAGUUGAAUCCUGCCGCCGCUCCAACUGAUACAUUUGAAUUUUUAACAAUUGAACUUUUCCUAAAUACUUAUAAAUUGAAACAGAAUGACCAACAAAUCAAUCUAAUAAAAAUGGAUCAAUGCAUACAGAAUGUUGAAUCUAUUGUGGAAUUAAUCUGAUCUCUAUAGAGAUUUUAAUGCGUUAAAGUUUUGUUUGAAUUUUAGUUAAGCCGCCAUAUUGCACAUGAUAUAUAUUGUACUAUAUCUAGUAGUGGCUAUUUUUAGCGCUCAUUACGAAGUGGCUAAUAUUCAUGACGGAUUAGGUUAUUGCACGAGGGAUAUACUGUAUCUGGCUGCUGCCGCUUAUAAAAUUCAUCGGGGACUGGUCAAUACCCAUGAUGGGGUUAGCCGGAUGGUUGAAGGAUGGGAUUCAAUGGACCGGGCCCAAAUUCCUCCUGAAAAACUGGAGGUGUGGGACUGGAAUUUGAGCCCGGACCAUACAGGAUGG